CUUUGUAAUGUUUUAUUUAAUUGUCUUUUCAUCGUCUUUCGUUUUUUGUCAUGGCAUUGUCAAAUUUCCAUCGACUUGCUUGAUAGCUUCCGUCUCUUUUUUCACAAAUGAUAAGACAACUCUCCGAAAGUUAAACUAUCAUGGUAGAACAUGUACCAGGUCAAUUUACACCUAAUCUCAAGUGAACCACAUAGGAUCAUAUUUAUA
rnacentral:lncRNA from 1 species